ACGCGAAAGCCCCCUUCGGGGGGCAAGUAGAGUGGCGCACGGGUGAGUAACACGUAGGUAAUCUACCUUUGGAUGGGGAAUAACCACCGGAAACGGUGGCUAAUACCGCAUAAUGCAGCGGCACCUAAUGGUGACAGUUGUUAAAGCGGGGGAUCGUAAGACCUCGCGUCUGAAGAGGAGCCUGCGGCAGAUUAGCUAGUUGGUAGGGUAACGGCUUACCAAGGCGAUGAUCUGUAGCCGGCCUGAGAGGGCGGUCGGCCACACUGACACUGACAUACGGGUCAGACUCCUACGGGAGGCAGCAGUCGGGAAUUUUGGGCAAUGGGCGAAAGCCUGACCCAGCAACGCCGCGUGAAGGAUGAAAUCCCUCGGGAUGUAAACUUCGCAAGAACGGGAAGAAUAAGUAAGAGCUAACAUCUCUUAUGAUGACGGUACUGUUUGUAAGCUCCGGCUAACUCCGUGCCAGCAGCCGCGGUAAUACGGGGGGAGCAAGCGUUG
rnacentral:rRNA from 1 species